GCCCCCGUAGCUCAGUCGGUAGAGCGUUACCUUGGUAAGGUAAAGGUCUCGGGUUCAAGUCCCGUCGGGAGCUC
rnacentral:tRNA from 1 species